GCUCUCGUCGUCUAAUGGCUAUGAUAUCAGAUUCCUAUCGUGACGAUUGCUACUCGAGGGGUUAUCUGAAGGUUCCGGGUUCGAGUCCCGGCGGGAGUA